CAAGCGUUAUCCGGAUUUAUUGGGUUUAAAGGGUGCGUAGGCGGCCUGGUAAGUCAGGGGUGAAAGACGGUAGCUCAACUAUCGCAGUGCCCUUGAUACUGAUGGGCUUGAAUGGACUAGAGGUAGGCGGAAUGAGACAAGUAGCGGUGAAAUGCAUAGAUAUGUCUCAGAACACCGAUUGCGAAGGCAGCUUACUAUGGUCUUAUUGACGCUGAGGCACGAAAGCGUGGGGAUCAAACAGG
rnacentral:rRNA from 1 species